AUUGAACGCUGGCGGCAGGCCUAACACAUGCAAGUCGAACGGCAGCACAGUGGAGCUUGCUCCAUGGGUGGCGAGUGGCGGACGGGUGAGGAAUACAUCGGAAUCUGCCCAGUCGUGGGGGAUAACAUAGGGAAACUUAUGCUAAUACCGCAUACGACCUACGGGUGAAAGCGGGGGAUCGCAAGACCUCGCGCGAUUGGAUGAGCCGAUGUCCGAUUAGCUAGUUGGCGGGGUAAUGGCCCACCAAGGCGACGAUCGGUAGCUGGUCUGAGGGGAUGAUCAGCCACACUGGAACUGAGACACGGUCCAGACUCCUGCGGGAGGCAGCAGUGGGGAAUAUUGGACAAUGGGCGCAAGCCUGAUCCAGCCAUGCCGCGUGGGUGAAGAAGGCCUUCGGGUUGUAAAGCCCUUUUGUCCGGAAAGAAAAGUCCCGGGUUAAUACCCUGGGGUGAUGACGGUACCGGAAGAAUAAGCACCGGCUAACUUCGUGCCAGCCGCCGCUGUAAAAC
rnacentral:rRNA from 1 species